rnacentral:rRNA from 1 species
UCCGCCAUGAUCUAGUAUAGCAUUAUACCGUGAAACUGCGAAUGGCUCAUUAAAUCAGUUAUCGUUUAUUUGAUAGUACCUUACUACUUGGAUAACCGUGGUAAUUCUAGAGCUAAUACAUGCUGAAAACCCCAACUUCGGGAGGGGUGUAUUUAUUAGAUAAAAAACCAACGCCCUUCGGGGCUUCUUGGUGAUUCAUGAUAACUUCACGGAUCGCAUGGCCUUGCGCCGGCGACGGUUCAUUCAAAUUUCUGCCCUAUCAACUUUCGAUGGUAAGGUAUUGGCUUACCAUGGUUUCAACGGGUAACGGGGAAUUAGGGUUCGAUUCCGGAGAGGGAGCCUGAGAAACGGCUACCACAUCCAAGGAAGGCAGCAGGCGCGCAAAUUACCCAAUCCCGACACGGGGAGGUAGUGACAAUAAAUACUGAUACAGGGCUCUUUUGGGUCUUGUAAUUGGAAUGAGUACAAUUUAAACCUCUUAACGAGGAACAAUUGGAGGGCAAGUCUGGUGCCAGCAGCCGCGGUAAUUCCAGCUCCAAUAGCGUAUAUUAAAGUUGUUGCAGUUAAAAAGCUCGUAGUUGAAACUUGGGCCUGGCUGGCAGGUCCGCCUCACCGCGUGUACUUGUCCGGCCGGGCCUUUCCUUCUGGAGAACCUCAUGCCCUUCACUGGGUGUGUUGGGGAACCAGGACUUUUACUUUGAAAAAAUUAGAGUGUUCAAAGCAGGCCUUUGCUCGAAUACGUUAGCAUGGAAUAAUAGAAUAGGACGUGCGGUCCUAUUUUGUUGGUUUCUAGGACCGCCGUAAUGAUUAAUAGGGACAGUCGGGGGCAUCAGUAUUCAAUUGUCAGAGGUGAAAUUCUUGGAUUUAUUGAAGACUAACUACUGCGAAAGCAUUUGCCAAGGAUGUUUUCAUUAAUCAGUGAACGAAAGUUAGGGGAUCGAAGACGAUCAGAUACCGUCGUAGUCUUAACCGUAAACUAUGCCGACUAGGGAUCGGGCGAUGUUCUUUUUCUGACUCGCUCGGCACCUUACGAGAAAUCAAAGUUUUUGGGUCUGGGGGAGUGGCCCG